rnacentral:rRNA from 1 species
GACGAACGCUGGCGGCGUGCCUAAUACAUGCAAGUAGAACGCUGAAGGAGGAGCUUGCUCUUCUGGAUGAGUUGCGAACGGGUGAGUAACGCGUAGGUAACCUGCCUGGUAGCGGGGGAUAACUAUUGGAAACGAUAGCUAAUACCGCAUAACAGUAGAUGUUGCAUGACAUUUGCUUAAAAGGUGCAAUUGCACCACUACCAGAUGGACCUGCGUUGUAUUAGCUAGUUGGUGGGGUAACGGCUCACCAAGGCGACGAUACAUAGCCGACCUGAGAGGGUGAUCGGCCACACUGGGACUGAGACACGGCCCAGACUCCUACGGGAGGCAGCAGUAGGGAAUCUUCGGCAAUGGACGGAAGUCUGACCGAGCAACGCCGCGGGAGUGAAGAAGGUUUUCGGAUCGUAAAGCUCUGUUGUAAGAGAAGAACGAGUGUGAGAGUGGAAAGUUCACACUGUGACGGUAUCUUACCAGAAAGGGACGGCUAACUACGUG